CCUACGGGAGGCAGCAGUGAGGAAUAUUGGUCAAUGGACGAGAGUCUGAACCAGCCAAGUAGCGUGAAGGAUGACUGCCCUAUGGGUUGUAAACUUCUUUUAUCUGGGAAUAAAACGUUCCACGUGUGGGAUUUUGUAUGUACCAUAUGACUAAGGAUCGGCUAACUCCGUGCCAGCAGCCGCGGUAAUACGGAGGAUCCGAGCGUUAUCCGGAUUUAUUGGGUUUAAAGGGAGCGUAGGUGGAUUGUUAAGUCAGUUGUGAAAGUUUGCGGCUCAAACGUAAAAUUGCAGUUGAAACUGGCAGUCUUGAGUACAGUAGAGGUGGGCGGAAUUCGUGGUGUAGCGGUGAAAUGCUUAGAUAUCACGAAGAACUCCGAUUGCGAAGGCAGUUCACUGGACUGCAACUGACACUGAGGCUCGAAAGUGUGGGUAUCAAACAGGAUUAGAUACCCCUGUAGUC
rnacentral:rRNA from 1 species